GAGUUAGUAAUUACUGUGUAGUUUCAAUUCAUGAUUCUCAUAACAUUCAGUGUAAGUGUAGCAGAAGUGUAGCAGAAGGGAGAUCAUAAAUGGUGUUGAAUGUAAUUUUGAAGUAGGAAAUGGCCUUUAUAUUUGAGAGAGAACAUUUGAAUCCUUUUCAGGGCUUUGGGCUCUUUGCUCUUUGAAUUAUAGAGGUCUACAGUAUUUGUGUUGACAUAGUUUCUGUAAAAAGAUUUAAAAAUAUCAGGGCAGUUAAAAAACUAGAUCUUUGUAUUUUUUGUUUUGGCAUGCAGUUAGUUGAUAUCUGCUAAGCAAUGUUUUGUUGUUGUUGAGCUGUCGUAGUAUCCUAUUUUAAAGUUUAUUUACUUUAUUUCCAGGAGAAUUGUCUUAUUUUUGGAGGUGUCUGACUUUGACACAAAUUAUAUAUAUUCAGGACUUUUAAAAAUAGCAGUACAAAAUGAAUAACCAACAAAAACCCAUAGUAUGAAACUCUGAGAAAAAAAUAGCAGUACACAUUAAACG
rnacentral:lncRNA from 1 species